rnacentral:rRNA from 1 species
GAUGAACGUUGGCGGUGUGCCUAAUACAUGCAAGUCGAACGGAGAUCAUUAAGUAGUAAUACCUUGUGAUUCUUAGUGGCGAACGGGUGAGUAACGAGUGGGUGACCUGCCCCGAAGUGUGGAAUAACAAUUCGAAAGAAUUGCUAAUACCGCAUGUGAUUUUAGAGACUAGAUGCUCUUUACUUUAAGGAUUUAUUCGCUUCGGGAGGGGCCUGCGUCCCAUCAGCUAGUUGGUAAUGUAAUGGCUUACCAAGGCUAUGACGGGUAGGGGACCUGGGAGGGGGGCCCCCCACAAUGGAACUGAAACACGGUCCAUACACAUACUAGUGGCAGCAGUAUGGAAGAUUAAUAAUGGGCGAAAGCCUGAACUAGCAACCCGGCGUGGGCGAAGAAGGCCUUCGGGUUGUAAAGCACUUUUCGGGGUGAGGAGGAAGGACGGUAGUCCCGGAAUAAGUCUCGGCUAACUGCGUGCCAGACACCGCAGUAACAC